UACGGGAGGCAGCAGUGAGGAAUAUUGCGCAAUGGAGGCAACUCUGACGCAGCCAUGCCGCGUGCAGGAAGAAGGCGCUACGCGUUGUAAACUGCUUUUAAUCGGGAAGAAACCCCGGGACGUGUCCCGGGUUGACGGUACCGAUGGAAUAAGCACCGGCUAACUUCGUGCCAGCAGCCGCGGUAAUACGAAGGGUGCAAGCGUUAUCCGGAUUCAUUGGGUUUAAAGGGUGCGUAGGCGGAACAAUAAGUCAGCGGUGAAAGCCUGCAGCUUAACUGCAGAAUUGCCGUUGAUACUGUUGUUCUUGAGUACGUUUGACGUGAACGGAAUGUGCCGUGUAGCGGUGAAAUGCUUAGAUAUGGCACAGAACACCGAUAGUGAAGACAGCUCACGAAGAAGAAACUGACGCUGAGGCAAAAAAGCGUGGGGAGCGAACAGGAUUAGCUACCCUGGUAGUCCACGCCGUAAACGAUGAUCACUCGUGAUUGGCGAUACACUGUCAGUCACGUAGCGAAAGCGUUAAGU
rnacentral:rRNA from 1 species